UAUUGCACAAUGGGGGGAACCCUGAUGCAGCGACGCCGCGUGGGUGAAGGAGCACCUCGGUGCGUAAAGCCCUAUCGGCAGGGAAGAAAAGCGAACAGGUUCGCCUGGACGGUACCUGACUAAGACGCCCCGGCUAACUACGUGCCAGCAGCCGCGGUAAUACGUAGGGGGCAACCGUUAUCCGGAUUCACUGGGUGUAAAGGGAGCGUAGACGGCGACGCAAGUCUGGAGUGAAAGCCCGGGGCCCAACCCCGGGACUGCUCUGGAAACUGCGGCGCUGGAGUACGGGAGGGGCAGGCGGAAUUCCUGGUGUAGCGGUGAAAUGCGUAGAUAUCAGGAGGAACACCGGCGGCGAAGGCGGCCUGCUGGACCGUGACUGACGUUGAGGCUCGAGAGCGUGGGGAGCAAACAGG
rnacentral:rRNA from 1 species